UGGCCGAGAGGGAGGAGAGGCAGGUGAGGAAGAGGUGAGGUGCGCCGGCGGCGGAUGCGGCUUCACGGCGUCGGAGGAGUUUCUCGUCGUCAGUUGCCUCGUUCGUCGUCGUUGAGCGCCGUCGUCUUCGAUGGGCAGGUACGAGUCGAGCUACGUCACGAGGAGGAGCGGCCGCCCACUCACGAGGUUGUGCCGGCGUAGCUAGGUGGUCGUUCGUUUCGAUCGGAGAUAGAUCGAUUAGCUCGGCGAGCUAGACGAGAGUGCACAUGAUCUGGUGAUCAUCAUACAUAUAUCGAUCGAUUAGCUAGGUGAGCUAACUAAGGAUACACAUUGUCGUCAUGCAUGAUGCAUACACACCCGCAAACAUCGACCCCACAUAUGUAUAUGUAAACUUAUGAGUUUAUGGACCCCACACAUGCGUAUGUAAGCUUAUGGACGUUUGGUGUUAUGGAGUCUAAACCGUGAGCCCAAUAUUCCAUAUUCGGCACACAUUGUGCACGGUCCGUAGGCCGAAUAUCCGUGAUGUUCGCCACCGGACGGUUUAUAUUCGGCUCUUCCUCCGUGAGCCGAAUAUAUAUUAUAUAUAUUUGGCUCGCAACGCCCGCCGUGAGCCGAAUGUAGCUACGACUGUGUACCGGCAAUUGUGUACCGAUGGCAGUACAAUGAAAUAAUUUGGCACACGGAGCGCGUUUGUGAGCUAAAUAUAUAUUUGGCUCAAAAAAAUCGUGCCGUGGGCCGAAUAUAGACAUUCGGCCAGGGGACAUUCCGCACAGGAUAUUUGGCCCUCAAAAUGAGCCGAAUAUAUAUUCGGCUCACGUUUAGCCGUAUUCGGCUCACAUAAUCCGUGUGCCGAAUGUUAAAAAAAGGACAUCACGCACCUCCAACCGAGUAUAAACCACAAACAAUGCACAUCCAGCCUAGACAAAAAGUGUUCUUUUCAUUGUAUUUAGUACGCCAUUUCUAUCUAGUUAAUGUAUCUAGUUGUCAAUUAUAUAAAAAUUACUACACCUAAUUGCACCCCAGAACGUACCACGAAGGUUAAUCAUUUAUAUUAUAUAUUCUAAAUAGUAUAAUAAUUAAUUUUUAAAUCGACAUUUAUCCCGGGCGGGGUAAAAACAGACUCAACGUUCAGAUACGAGCUGUGUGUUGACCCAGGCUGGCAAAAAACAGGAUCAACCUUCAGGUGCGAGCUCUACGUUGACGUACGGCUGUCCCUCUAACGUUAAUCACCACCCUCGUCCCAACAGCCAUUCAAAUUAGAGGUGUAAAUAUUUUAUAUGCACCAUAAAUCUUUUCAGUACUAGUAAAAGGUUUUAAUGCUUAAAAAAAUGUCUCAUUCAAAAAAAAGUCAAAUCUUUUUAUUCGUACUAGAAAAAGGUUUAAACACUUGUAAAAAAUAAAAGUACUAAAAAAAAUUAAAAGGCACAAAGGAAAGUAAAAUAAAGAAAGAUAAAGGGGAAGAAAGAAGGGAAAAUAGCAAUAGAAUAAAUCGAAAAUUAAAGUCUUAAAAAAAGGAUCAAAAAAAGAAAACCAACAGCAAAAAGUACCAAAUGAAUUUUUACAAGUAUCACGUAAAAAUUUUAUAUAAGUGGUACAAAAUUUUACAUGUAGUGUAUAAAAAAAUCUUUUAAAGUUUCGUAAUUUAUAUACAAGUGGCACAAAAUUUUACAUGAUUGGUAGAAUAUACUUUACAAACAACGUAAAACUCUUAUAAAGUACUACAAUAUGUUCAAAAAGCAGUACACAAAUUUUUUACCAGUGGUGUAAAUUUUUUACAUAUAACGUAUCAUUCUUUUCACGAGUAAAAAAUGUAAUAUUUUUACAAGUGUUAAUAAAAAGAUCUUGAUAAGUGUAUUAGAAUCUUUUUGAUAAGUGGAGCAAGAUGUUAAUUAAGUGGUUAAAAAAAAUUUCUUUUUACGAAUGAAACAGUGAGUUCAUAAACAAUAUGGUACAAUUCAGUAGGGAUCAUAACUUGCACACACAGGUAACUCUUUUAUUCAGUUGUGAUCAUGUAACGACUGAGUUUUAGGUCAUCGGGCACUUGCACACAUCAUGUAAACUCUUCUACAGACAUAAAGUAAUUUACGGUCAUCGGUCGCUGUCCUGUUAUGUCUAAAUCGGUAAUUAAUAACUAUUAUUUCUUUAUUGUAUUUUAAACUACUUUCUAAAGUAGGUCUACAUUGUUCUGCUGUUGUCUAACUGCUUGAUGGCAGGUGACAACUUACGAAAGUGAACUUGCCUACCUGUGCACAAAGCUGGAGUAGAAGAGUCAUACCCUUGUCCUUCGGCCGCAAGCAGAGGUCGGGCCGUCCCUAGAGGCCGUUGCCUCCGUAGCGGUAUUCGUUGACGACAUGGCGAUGGGGGUAGAGCGGCAGCUUGGGACCGACGACUCCUUAGCGGUAGACGUAGAAGAGGUAUAGGUAGGGGCGCCGCUUGGGGACGCCGCCUCCGUAGAGGACUUAUAGGUAGGGCCGUCGACGUAGUGGUAGACUACGAUGUAUAAGUAGGGCCCCCGUUUGGUGACUCCGCCUCCGACGAAACGGUAGUGGUAGAGGACCGAGGACGAUGAUGGCUUGAGUUUUCAUGACGGUGGCUUCUCGACGGUAACGGAGCUCCUCUUGGAACCGCACAAGCCUCUGCUACAGGAAGUGGAAGUAGCCCACCUGGGUUCGGCGAUAGACCAGGGGGUACAGCGCGAGGAAGCGGUACUGGAGGACGAACACGAGGCAAGCGAAGAAGUGGAACUAUCGUUCGUUACCACCGGUUCUCCUUCCCAGCGCUGCCGGCCAUCUUCUGGCAGGGGGUGGCCUAGUAGUUCCUCCUGCGGGCCGUACACACGAAGAGGCUCGCAAAGGCCCCCUAUAAGUUGUUCCGGUCGCUCGUCCGGGACGAGUGAUCGCGGGUCCACCGGUAACAGCCGAAUUACGGGCCGCCGUUCCGGAAGAGGAAGCCGCUAAGUAGUUAUCUGCAACAGCAGUUGGUGAAGUCCCACCCCCUGCCGCGACGGCUGUUGUUGACCAACGUUUGCAACGCGGCCGUCGUACCGCUCCACGCGUGUCUCGACCGCCUCGCCUUCUUCGCCUACUUCUCACGCCUGCUCCGGGACGAAGUCCUUGUGCGACACCCCUGGUGUGCCGUCGCACCCAGCUUGAGCUACACUCGUUGUACCCCAUACUCCUGUGCCGCCACAAGCGGUGUCACGAGUAGGUCCUCGUCCGGCGGCCUGCGUGGUUGGUCCAAGAGUACCUCCAGAAAGUACAGGUGUAGUCGGCAUUGGAGGUCCACGGGGGCGGCGACGGCGGUCGGGUCGAGAACCCAUGGGGCCGAAUAGUUGGUCCAUGCAGCUUUUGUACAAAAGCUCGUAUACGUGGGCCCGGGAAGUAUAGAUCGUCGAGUAAAAGAUUGAACAUACACCCUAAUUUGAAAGUAUUAAAAAGAAGGUUAUCUUUAUCCUUUUACUCUAAACAAACUAAGUUUUUAGUAAAAAAAUCAUAAAUACAACAUCGUUUUUUAGUCUUUCAAAGUAGGGUGUAAGAUCCAUUUUUCAAAACAAGACGGUGUUUAAAAUUUCAAAUUAUGUACAAAAUAUACUAUCUUUGUUUUUUUCUCUUUAAAAGUACAUCAAUCAAUCAACACAUCGUAUCUAGAGUUGCGUUGUAACCUCAUCGGUCCUAUUGUUCCCGGCCCACGUAUACGAGUUUUUAAGAUGUAGGAACUCAAGCCAUCGUCGUCGUGUACGUUCGUAAGUGGUCUACGUCUACCGCUACGUAGGUCGUGUCCACAAGCGACGGCCGUGCUUCUACGUCUACCACUAUGACGGCGGCGGCCCUACGUGUACCGCCGUGACCAAGAGGCGGCCCUACCUCUAUCUCGACUACGACUACCGGUACGACGGCUGCCACGGCCUCAAGGGGCGGUCCUACCUGUACAGGGUCGUCAUCGAGCCCGCUUAGUGCCGAAGGGGAUGACUCCUCUUCUUCUGUACCUGCACCUAGUUAGUAAAUCAAGCACCAGUGUCACUAUAGGUUUUUUUUAGCACGUCCAAGGUACCUUCUAGAUACGUAAUCAACCAAGUUAAUAGCAUCAUCAUGACAUAAUCAAGAUUACAAAAAAAAGUACGAUUCAUGUACGGAAAAGUAUCAAGUUUAGAAAGUUAAAAAAGUACGAAUUCAAGCACUGAAAAGUCAACAAGUCUACGUACAAAAAGUACGUGUUCAAGUACUAAAAGUCGACAAGCCC
rnacentral:rRNA from 1 species